UGUAUAAUAGUAAGAGUUGAAAAUAGCAACU
rnacentral:rRNA from 1 species